CCGUGCAAAGGUAGCAUAAUCAUUAGUUUUUUAAUUGGAAACUUGUAUGAAUGGUUAGACAAAAGAAGUACUGUCUCUGUUUAUUAGAAUUUGAAUUUAACUUUUAAGUGAAAAGGCUUAGAUUUUUCAAGGGGACGAUAAGACCCUAUAAAGCUUUAUAAAUAACUAGAUAUUUUUUAGAUUAUAGGAUAAAAAAAAAUUCUCAGGGGUUUAUUAUGUUGGGGCGACACGGAUAUAACUAAAAGCAACUAUCAGAAAAUAAAACAAUAAUUUUUGGAAUUCAUGAUCCUAAGUAAAGAUUACAAGACUAAGUUACUUUAGGGAUAACAGCGUUAUUCUUUUUGAGAGUUCAUAUCGAAAAAAGAGUUUGCGACCUCGAUGUUGAAUCAAAAAAUCUUUAUGAUGCAGCAAUUAUAAAAGA
rnacentral:rRNA from 1 species